rnacentral:rRNA from 1 species
CCCUUAGAUGUUCUGGGCCGCACGCGUGCUACACUGAGUGGAUCAGCGGGUCAGGUUGCGCGAAAGUGUUUCCUAAUCUUUAAAUCCGCUCGUGAUGGGGAUUGACGGUUGCAAUUUUCCGUCAUGAACGAGGAAUACCUUGUAAGCGCGGGUCAUCAUCCCGCGCUGAAUACGUCCCUGCCCUUUGUACACACCGCCCGUCGCUCCUACCGAUUGAGUGGCCCGGUGAGGCUUUGGGAUCUGGGCGGAAAGAGCGUUUCGCUGUUUCUGCCCGGAAAACUCAGUCGAACCUUAUCAUUUAGAGGAAGGAGAAGUCGUAACA